rnacentral:tRNA from 1 species
AACCCCGUGGCCGAGUGGCAAGGCAAAGGGCUGCAAAUCCUUUUACGUCAGUUCGAAUCUGACCGGGG